UUCUUAAGGAUAGAUUCUUAAGUAAAACCUGCUCAAUGAAAAUUAAAUAGCUGCGGGAUACCGUACUAAGGUAGCAUAAUCACUUGACAAUUCAUUGUUGUCUAGAAUGAAGGGUAAAACACCUAAUUUCUAUUUUAUCUUGAAUAAUUUGAAUUUAAAUUUUUAGUAAAAAUGCUAAAAUAUCUUUUAGGGACGAGAAGACCCUACAUAAAGCUUAAAAUAAGAUAAAAAAUAAAUUUAAAAUCUUAUUUUUCAUUGGGGAAAUGAAAUAAAAAAAUUUAUUUUAAAAUAUCCAAUAAUAUUGAAUUUAAUAAGUUACUUUAGGGAUAACAGCGUAAUAAAAGUAAAAAAGUUCUUAUUUUUUAUUUUGAUUGCGACCUCGAUGUUGGAUUAAUAUACCUUUUAGAAGCAUCUUUUUAAUAAAGGUAGUCUGUUCGACUAAUAACUUAUUACA
rnacentral:rRNA from 1 species